ensembl:lncRNA
CAUAUGCUGGUGUCCUUGCAGCCUCAAUGAAACCUCCCAUCCUGCAAGAUUUGGUUAGCUCAAGUACUCCCACCCUGGGAUGCUUCUUAAAAGAGCUAAACUGAUACUGUGAGACAGACGAGCAGACAGAUAGCAAGAAUAAGCAAGGUAAAUCUAAUCGCUUGAGACAUUUGAGACGUGAGUGGUAUUUAAUUUGUCCAUACCAUGGAACAUGACAAAAUAAAUUAGUAACAGAGGAAAAUAUUAUGCAGUGUCAUUAUGGGGUGAAGAUAUUUGUGUAUUUAGUUGAAGUACUGCCUAAUAUGAGUGCCUGAGAAUACCCAUUGCAGCUAUACGCAUUUUAAUAAUUUAAAUGUAUUUAUUUAAAUUCUUUUAACACUUAUAGCCAUUUAACAAUUGGUGUUUGUUUUUUAUCUUUUCUCUUUGGGAAUACAAGCAGUAAUCAUGUUUCUGUAAUAACCGGAAUAAAGUCUAGAGACAAGAACUCAGGAUUUGUGUUGUCAGUUAAAAGCUCUAUUAUAAAAAGGAGAAAAUAAAUUAUAGAAAGAAAACAAUGCUAUGUUCUCCGAAUCUAGUAUUUUUUCCUACAUCAAGAGAGCUGCAGUAGCAGAAAUUCCUGUUUUGACGCAAAAAGGAGAUUUGCAUGUUUGCUGACUAGGUACUGUGAGGGAAGCUGCAUGUUGCUCAAUUGGUCACAAGCAAGCAACUCGAUGGAUGAGAUACAGUGAGAGGAGGAACAGACUGAUGUGUUGCCUGUUUUCAUUCUAAUUGUGUCACAUGGAGUGAAUGAAGUUCUGUUUAUCUGUCUCUACAAAUGAAUGAGAAUGUUUUGUAAUAUUUGUGCAUUGGGUUCAUUAGAGGAAUCUUCACUUGUGUCCUUGCAGAGGAAGCCUGGCUUUGGCUGUUAUAGACAUCUGAAAGCUGGAGAAAUCAUAAUUUUACCACGCUUUUUGAAGGUGGCAUACAUUGCAUCUAGUUCUGAUUGAGAUUCGUGCUAGAAAAUAAAACUUCCACUCCGUCUGGAAUGUAAAAGAAGCCUUUCAAACUUGCAGUGUUUUUAAUAGAAAUUAAAUGAAUUAACUUAAGCUGGUACCUUACACAUGCAGGCAAAGAAUGGAUACCUAAAUAAUCUCAGUUUGUCUCUGCUACAGAUCUUGAUAAAAGGUUGGGCACAGGAUCACUGAAGAAGACCCCAAGUUGUCAAAAAAUGAUUGCAUGUAGUAUAUCUGGACUGUAGUAUAUGCAUGUAGUAUAUCCGGACUGCUAGAGAACAACAAAAAGGUGAGCAUCCAUGAAGGCACUUUAAAGACUCUCUGAAAUCCUCAUCAAGCUUGUGAGAGUAAUUUUUAAACUGUCAGAAUACAACUACACAUCAAGGUAUCUCCAGAGAUGUCUGUGGGCAUUGGAAAUGCAGAGAAUUGGCCUGCAGCCCUACCUGCUCCUCACCAGCUCUUCUGUCCCCACACACCAGAGUUUACUGUUGCUAAAGGCAAUUAGCUACAGCACAAGGAAGGCUGUAGUCACUGGGCAGGUCAGAAAACUAGAGGCCCUUGUGCACUGUGUGUUCUGAGUUCUGAGUUCCUGCCACAGAUGCCCUAUCACAGUAAUUAGCUGAGGUAUUAUGAUAUCUUGAUAUCUUCAUACACAAGAAAUUGCAUUCAGUAAAUUUAAUGUGUCAUCAGAAGCCUUCCUGCAGGCUGGGUGAGCAGACAUCACACAAAGAAGGUGAGGCCCUCUCUGACAAGGUCCCAUCAGAGGUGCACGGUCUGGUCCUUUUUGUCUGCUUGCUCAUCACCUCAGCUGCUUCAGCUCCUCAGUGGAAGAUUUUCAGACCCUUCUAAUUAUGCUUGCAUUUAACAGACCUCUACCAAGCUACUGUUCAGGAGAACAGCCACAACAAACCAGUGCCAGUCUGCCAGUUCAGGCAACAGGCUUGCUUGCUGUGAGGAUAUUUGCCUUUCCCUAGCACCAAGAUCACCAACGGUUAACUGCCCUAUAAAAUAGGCCAUCUUUCUUCUACUGACCUUCUGACUGGGCUCUCCGUAACUAUGAAGACUGGCAUUCUUAUUUACCAUUUUCUUAUCUGAGACUUUUACUAGAGGGAAUUCAGUCUUUACUCUGAUACUGAACUCAUGGAUUACAGUCUUCUGCAAGAUAUUCAGAUUCAAAUUCAAGUUAUCUCAAAUGCUCUCCUUUCUCCUGAGACCCACUGCCCUGAAAAAUAU